UGGGGAAUUUUGGACAAUGGACGCAAGUCUGAUCCAGCCAUGCCGCGUGCGGGAAGAAGGCCUUCGGGUUGUAAACCGCUUUUGUCAGGGAAGAAACGAGUUUCUCUAAUACAGAGACUUAAUGACGGUACCUGAAGAAUAAGCGCCGGCUAACUACGUGCCAGCAGCCGCGGUAAUACGUAGGGUGCGAGCGUUAAUCGGAAUUACUGGGCGUAAAGCGUGCGCAGGCGGUUUGCUAAGACAGAUGUGAAAUCCCCGGGCUCAACCUGGGAACUGCAUUUGUGACUGCAUAGCUGGAGUGCGGCAGAGGGGGAUGGAAUUCCGCGUGUAGCAGUGAAAUGCGUAGAUAUGCGGAGGAACACCGAUGGCGAAGGCAAUCCCCUGGGCCUGCACUGACGCUCAUGCACGAAAGCGUGGGGAGCAAACA
rnacentral:rRNA from 1 species